GAAGCCCUAAAUCUUUGCUUAUUUGAAACCCUAAUCUUUACCCAAUUAGCCUUUGACAUCUAUCUCCAUCCUCUAGGUUUGCAUUCAUUCAAAUAAUUUUUUGCCAGAUGUCUCAUGUGGACCUCUCCUAUAAUUGCUGGUUUAUGCAAACAACAGGUAUUGCUGGUUUAUGCAAACAACUGGUAUUGCUGAUUUAUGCAAACAACUGGCACAAGUGGUUUAUGGAAACAACUGUGGUUUUAUGAUUGAUUUCCCAAUUUUUCUCAUUUGUGAAGUUUUUUUCUCUCUCUUCCCCCUCUCUCUCUCUCUCUCUCUCUCUCUCUCUCUCUCUCUCUCUCUCUCUCUCUCUCUCUCGUACGCUCUGCUCUUUCUCACCUUCCUCUCACACUUUCAUCUCUCUUUCUCUCUGCACUCUCCAUCUCAUCCUUCACCAUAACAUCCACACAACAACCUCCACCACCAUCUACAAAUCAACCACUCGUGAGAGUGAGGGAGUGGCCGAGUGAGAAAAUAUUUGCCGGCGGGAGAGAAGUUCCGGCGAGGAGGAGGAGUUCCGGCCGAGAGAGUUCUUGUGGCGGUUUGUGUAGGGUUGGGCAUUAAGGUUGCAAUCAAGUCGGAAUUUAUGAUCGCACCGCCGAUUGGAGGUGGUGGUGAUGUGUGGUGGUUAUGGUGGAUGGUGAUGCACUGAUGCUACUUAUUAAAUAAAAUUGGUGAUCUUGUGUUGUGAGCUUUGCUAUCUUCUUUAAAGUUAGUUUUAUAUAGACUCAUAUUAUCCUUAAUACAUGCUGUCAUGAAGCAUUGUGCUAUAAGUGAAAGCUUUGAACAUUGUCUGAUAAAUGAAAGUUUUGAAUUGGAUUUUUUCAAGUGAAGGAGUAUUUUGCAAGUAACUAAAAUUUGGUAUUUCAAGAGGCCAUUGAAUUUGGUCUUUCAAGAGGGCAUUGAGUAUGUGGCUGAACAUGGUUAUCAGUUAGUUGCACCUUUUUUUACUGUGGAAUGAAUGUAAUUAUUAUCAGUUAAAUCACAGCUAAUUACUAGGAUUUAUAGUCUUGCAACACUAAGAUUACUUUAACCAGAUGAUGUCUGCUGAUUUCAUGCUGAAAUACUUAUGUUACUGCUUAUUUUCAUCAUUUUGUGAGAACCACAGUGCCAUUAUUAUGCUCA